GUAGGUGGCAAGCGUUGUCCGGAAUUAUUGGGCGUAAAGCGCGCGCAGGGCGGUCCUUUAAGUCUGAUGUGAAAGCCCGCGGCUCAACCGUGGAGGGUCAUUGGAAACUGGGGGACUUGAGUACAGAAGAGGAAAGCGGAAUUCCAAGUGUAGCGGCGAAAUGCGUAGAGAUUUGGAGGAACACCAGUGGCGAAGGCGGCUUUCUGGUCUGUAACUGACGCUGAGGCGCGAAAGCGUGGGGAGCAAACAGGAUUAGAUACCCUGGUAGUCCACGCCGUAAACGAUGAGUGCUAAGUGUUAGGGGGUUUCCGCCCCUUAGUGCUGCAGCUAACGCAUUAAGCACUCCGCCUGGGGAGUACGGCCGCAAGGCUG
rnacentral:rRNA from 1 species